GACAGAGGGUGCAAACGUUGUUCGGAAUUACUGGGCGUAAAGCGCACGUAGGCGGCUUUGCAAGUUAGAGGUGAAAGCCCGGGGCUCAACUCCGGAAUUGCCUUUAAAACUGCAUCGCUAGAAUUGUGGAGAGGUAAGUGGAAUUCCGAGUGUAGAGGUGAAAUUCGUAGAUAUUCGGAAGAACACCAGUGGCGAAGGCGACUUACUGGACAGAUAUUGACGCUGAGGUGCGAAAGCGUGGGGAGCAAACAGG
rnacentral:rRNA from 1 species